AUUAAACUACUCGUUUACUGUCGGAUGAACUCCAAAUAAAAUGUGGCUCGAGAGUUUGCGCGAAUAAUUGGUGAACUAUUUGUUAAUUAUAUAGUUCCUUUUCACUCAAGGUGUGGUUGUCAGGUGGCGUCUUUCCUUUGGCAUAUGUUGAUUAACGUUUGAUGGCAUAUGUUGAUUAACGUUUGAUAGUUAUUUACUCAUGUUGUCUUCCAAUUGUUUUAUAAUAUUGCAAAGCUUUUCUUCAUGCUCAUUCACUCUUGAAACUUAUUUGUAAAAUCUUGUGUGCUUUUGAAGUCAUUGUAUUAAGAUCUUGUAGAGUGGUGUCGUGUAAUCAUUUGUAUUUUUAGAGUUAGCUGUGAUGAAUUUUCUGCCAUCCGUUCAUGAUCUGAUCAAAGGAAUGUAUUCAAAUGGGUGUUUCGACUCAGCAUUAGUACCGCCGACCUUUUUUGAGCUUUGGAUCAUUCGAGGUAUCUGUUGCUUCCGUUACUGAAUGGUGUAUCUUGUGCACUUUGCGAUAAAGUUUUCCUAUGAGCUGCUACAAGCGGGGGAGGAUGAUAUUCCGAGACUUGCACUUGGUAUGCACUUCUAUCUGUCAAGACCUUUGCCAUGCUGGGUGUGCUCGCUUGCCGCGACUGAUGGCUGUUCUGUGGCUGUGAUGUUCUGCUGAAGCUGUUUCUCUGGCUGCGUUCUGGUGCUGUUUGCUGGUUGCAGUCUUCUUUGGAGGCUGCUUCGUUGGUUGCUGUCUUCUGUGGAAGACGUUUCUCUGGCUGCAGUCAUCUGCUGAAUGGGAGCCUUCUCUGUGUUCGGAUUAACUGAAAUCUGGUUGGAGGGCUUCAAAUAAGAACGAAAGUAGCUACUUGUCCACAGCCGUCUGCAGUAAUAGCAUGUUUGCUCCCUGAAUUUUGUGGAGUCCUGCCUAGUGCAGUUGCUGUAGUUGUUGGAUGUUAUUGUCAAAUGAAGUAACAUGGGCGUAGUGAGAAAAUGUCCCUCUAAUUUGUUGGCUUAGGCUAGGCUACCGGGGCAGGUGUCAAAUUUACUGUUGCGUAUGAUAUUUGUUGGAUUGUGUUCUAGUUUUGCUUCCUGUAUGGUAGGUGAAGGAUAAAAAUCAGUUUUUGAGUUCGUUAGUUUUGUUAA